CUCCUACGGAGGCAGCAGUGGGGAAUAUUGCGCAAUGGCCGCAAGGCUGACGCAGCGACGCCGCGUGUGGGAUGACGCCCUUCGGGGUGUAAACCACUGUUGCCCGGGACGAACGAGGGGAUUUAUCCCCUGUGACGGUACCGGGUGAGGAAGCACCGGCUAACUCCGUGCCAGCAGCCGCGGUAAUAC
rnacentral:rRNA from 1 species